GCUGGGCACAGUGGCGCAUGCCUGUAAUCCCAGUGGCGCUGGAGGCUGAGGCAGGAAAAUCGCGAGUUCAAAGCCAGCCUCAGCAAAAGCAAGGUGCUAAGCAACUCAGUGAGACCCUGUCUCUA
rnacentral:sRNA from 1 species